GCCCCCCUACGGGGCGCAGCAGUGGGGGAUAUUGGACAAUGGGGGGAACCCUGAUCCAGCGACGCCGCGUGAGUGAAGAAGUAUUUCGGUAUGUAAAGCUCUGUCAGCAGGGAAGAAAGAAAUGACGGUACCUGACCAAGAAGCCCCGGCUAACUACGUGCCAGCAGCCGCGGUAAUACGUAGGGGGCAAGCGUUAUCCGGAAUUACUGGGUGUAAAGGGAGCGUAGACGGCAGCGCAAGUCUGGAGUGAAAUGCCGGGGCCCAACCCCGGAACUGCUCUGGAAACUGUGAAGCUGGAGUGCAGG
rnacentral:rRNA from 1 species